rnacentral:rRNA from 1 species
AUUGAACGCUGGCGGCAGGCUUAACACAUGCAAGUCGAGCGAGAGGCGGACGGGUGAGUAAUGUCUGGGAAACUGCCUGAUGGAGGGGGAUAAAUACGGGAAACGGUAGCUAAUACCGCAUACCAUCAGAUGUGCCCCGAUGGGAUUGGCUAGUAGGUGGGGUAAUGGCUCACCUGGGCGACGAUCCCUAGCUGGUCUGAGAGGAUGACCGGCCACACGGGAACUGAGACAGGGUCCAGACGCCUACGGGAGGCAGCAGUGGGGAAUAUUGCACAAUGGGCGAAAGCCUGAUGCAGCCAGGCAGCGUGUGUGAAGAAGGCCUUCGGUUUGGAAAGCACUUGCAGCGAGGAGGCGGUACUCGCAGAAGAAGCACCGGCUAACUACGUGCCAGCAGCCGCGGUAAUUC